UUAAGUGGUUUGCUUCACUCAAUGCUGGUUCAUUGUUUCUAAGGUCCAUGUCUCGUGUUUGGAUUACCUGUUUUAAUGUUUCAUGUUUUGGAUGUUACCUUCCAAGGACCAUUUUCAGUUGCUGCUCCCUGUUUGUGAAUUUGGACUCAACACUUUCACCAAGUUUCACCUGUUUGUCCCAAUAAAUCUCACCAACUGCAUCUGUUCCAUUUUCCGUGUCUGCCCUUGGGUCCAUACCCUGAUACUCCGUGUAGCCUCACAGCUACACGUAACAGAAUGAACCAGCCUGAAAUGGACCCAGCGGAUACUUGCGCUGAUGUGAGUUUUAACUUGUUUUUGGACUUGGAGUUGAGGAAGAUGUGGGAGAGUGCCAGAAAUGUCAUUUAUUGGAAAGCUAUUGUUUCUUUGGCACGGGAAAUGGCAUUUUCGGACCCCUGGCUAAUAGACUCACUGCCAAGCCAGGCCACAAGCUUUUUCCUCACCUCAGCUCCUCAGUUGGCUAGCCACCUGCCUGUUUCCCGGCCCACUGGCCUUGAGCUCCAGCGUCCUAGUCUCCACAUGCCUGAUUCCUGCUAGUCUCCUGGUUGGUAGCCUUUUUCUGUCUGCCCCUGUUCCGGCUAGUGCCUCAGCAGCUAGCCUCCUGCCUGCCUGUGUCUGUUCCCCCUCCUGUGAAGUCAUCUGCAGGGUGACGUGGACGCAGUCGCCGCCGCCGUGUCUCACCGCACUCAAGAUCUGCUGAGCCUCCGCUCCCCAGCUCUGCUGAGCCUCUUGUAAGGUCAUCUGGAGGGCAAGGCGGACGCGUUUGCUGCUGCCGCCGUGUGUCUCCAUCCAGGACAAGGAUUCUAGAACUCUGCUGUACGGAUCUACUACAGACCACUACUUCGGUCUACAGUCUACUCCACACCAUUAAAGUCUAUGGGCCUUUCUCAAUCUGCA